UACGUAGGUGGCAAGCGUUGUCCGGAUUUACUGGGCGUAAAGCGUGCGCAGGCGGCUUUGCAAGACAGAUGUGAAAUCCCCGGGCUUAACCUGGGAAUUGCAUUUGUGACUGCACGGCUAGAGUGUGUCAGAGGGGGGUAGAAUUCCACGUGUAGCAGUGAAAUGCGUAGAUAUGUGGAGGAAUACCGAUGGCGAAGGCAGCCCCCUGGGAUAACACUGACGCUCAUGCACGAAAGCGUGGGGAGCGAACAGG
rnacentral:rRNA from 1 species